rnacentral:rRNA from 1 species
UACGGAGGAUCCAAGCGUUAUCCGGAUUUAUUGGGCUUAAAGGGUGCGUAGGCGGAAUAAUAAGUCAGUGGUGAAAUCCAGCAGCUUAACUGUUGAACAGCCGUUGAUACUGUUAUUCUUGAGUGUAGAUGAAGUGGGCGGAAUGUGUCAUGUAGCGGUGAAAUGCAUAGAUAUGACACAGAACACCGAUGGCGAAGGCAGCCCNCCGU